rnacentral:tRNA from 1 species
CCCUGACUAGCUCAGUUGGUAGAGCAUGAGACUCAUAAUCUCAGGGUAGUGGGUUUGUGUCCCAUGUUGGGUC